UGUAAGCGUAUACCAAAGUUGUUGCAGUUAAAACGCUCGUAGUCGGAAUUUGGCAGUUCCGGAUGUGUGCACGUCGUGUGCGCACUUCGCGGGGAUUGCUUUUGUGGUCUUGCGUAGGAUGAGGCACUUUUAUUAGUGAACGUCCUCACGCAACCACUUUUUACUGUGAGAAAAUUAGAGUGCUCAAAGCAGGCAUUUGCCGUGAAUGUAUUAGCAUGGAAUAAUAGAAUAGGACUUGGUUCUAUUUUGUUGGUUUGUUGGGACUGAGUAAUGAUUAAGAGGGACAGUUGGGGGCAUUUGUAUUUCGGUGCUAGAGGUGAAAUUCUUAGAUUACCGAAAGACAAACUGCUGCGAAAGCGUCUGCCAAGGAUGUUUUCAUUGA
rnacentral:rRNA from 1 species